rnacentral:rRNA from 1 species
AUUGAACGCUGGCGGCAGGCCUAACACAUGCAAGUCGAACGAGUGGCGGACGGGUGAGUAAUGUAUGGGAAACUGCCUGAGGGAGGGGGAUAAGUACUGGAAACGGUAGCUAAUACCGCAUACCAUCAGAUGUGCCGAGAUGGGAUUAGCUAGUUGGUUGGGUAAAGGCUCACCAAGGCGUCGAUCCCUAGCUGGUCUGAGAGGAUGACUAGCCAAACUGGAACCGAGACAAGGGCCAGACCCCUACGGGAGGCAGGAGUGGGGAAUAUUGCACAAUGGGGGCAAGCCUUAUGCAGCCCUGCCCGGUGUAGGAAGAAGGGCUUCGGGUUGUAAAGUACUUUCAGCGGGGAGGCGUUACCCACAAAAGUAGCACCGGCUUACUCCGGGCCAGCAGCCGCGGUAAUAC